AAGCAAACAAUUACAUGCUAAUCCAGGGCUACGUUUGAUGGGGUUCGUCCACAGGGGGGAAAGAUACUGCAAAAAUGAGUAAGAGCGAGUAGCAACAUAGAAGAUGGAACCAAAAGGCUUGAAUUUUGGAGCAAAGGCUUAUUCAGCAUUAGUCCAAACCUGCUUAAACUCAACAUAAAGUCUCUUAACUUCCCAAGAACAGUUAUCACUUACCGCACCAGCGUGUCGUGGGAUUCUUCUGUGACCCGUACCUCUCGGAUUACUCCUCAGUCUUUUCAGAGCUCCCUGAUGUGGUCACGGACGGCGUUCUCCAGGGAUUUUACACCCGAGAGGUCAAAGUGAGCUUCAGAGACCCCACUCCACCUUUGCUUUAAUACUGAAAAUUACAACAUGCUUUGGAGCCAAGCCUUUCGAAUGGACUGUUUUUUAGUUUUGUAACAUCAUCAGCUGAGACCAACACUUUAAACGCCUAUUCAACUCUUUAUGCUCCCGUAAGUCAUGACAGGUUAGAAACAGGAAACACAGGUGAGGAUUUGACGAACUGUUUCUCCAGAUGUGUGUCUACUUGAGGUGCUUUAGACCUGGUUUAGCGUGGUGUAUUGGGUACUCAAGCUUAAGUUACUGUAAAAGUUGACAGAUUUUUAUUUAGGGAUGCAUAACUGAGCCGGUGGUCAUAAUGAUGUGCUCGAUCUGUGUGUUGCCUUCAAAAGGUCAAGAGCCAUUUAUCGGAUUACUCUAUUGUGCAUUUUAUAACUCGUUUUUACUGAAGUUAUAAGUGAAACUUCCUUUUUAAGGUGGGUUGCACUGGAUUUCUGCAUUUUAUAACUGACAUUUUAUUGUUAAUGUUUAAGCUCCUAUAAAUGUGUGGACACAAGUUUGAGCGGAACCAAAGAGCUGUUUUAGACGAAAGCGUUAUCAUUUUUAUGUUGCCUUUUUAAUAUUAAAAUGUGAACAAGCAAACCUUAUCCAGUUUCGUUCUUUUCAUGUAAUAAAAAUGCUAUUUUUGAAAAAGUCAAACAGUGUUUAUAUCCGGGUUUCCGCAGGGCAUUGAAAACCAUUGAAUCAAUUGUGCCAAAAUCAGAAAAUUAGAUUCAAACUGGAAUUAAAUCAAUCUUUUGAAAAAUUACUCAACAAGUUUUACUGUAUAAAUUAAUCUAAAAUAUCAAAAUUAUGGUUUAAAACAUGUUCAGCUGCAGUUUUGACUUUAUAUAGUUUUAUAUUUUCUUUCAAAAGUUGCCCAUUUGGUCCAAUUCUCUUUCCUCCGUUUGAUGAAAUGUUUGCAAAUCUUAAAUGAAAUAUGUGCUGAUAUUUUUCUGGAUUUGUGGCGUUAAAAUAUAGUAUUCAGUAUUCAGUAUUCCCUGAAGUUCUCAGGGAGGGGUCUCCUGGUGGUUCCCAGAGUCAAUGAUAAACACGGUGAGGCUGCGUUUCAGUUUCAUGCAGCUAAAAUCUGGAACAGUCUUCAUGAGGAUGUGAGACAGGCCUCAACUCUGACAAUGUUCAAAUCCAGGCUGAAAACAGCUCUUUUUACCCGUGCAUAUGAAAACUGAAAGUAUUUUAUCUGCACUCUUGCCUUUUACUGUAACUGAUUAACUUUAUGUUGAUGUUUUAUUGAUUGAUUUUUAUCUGUUUUCUUGUAAUUUAUGCAACUGUGAAGCACU
ensembl:lncRNA